rnacentral:rRNA from 1 species
AACGAACGCUGGCGGCAGGCUUAACACAUGCAAGUCGAACGGUUGUAGCAAUACAGCAGUGGCGCACGGGUGAGUAACGCGUGGAUAUCUGCCUUUUGGUUCGGAAUAACCCCGGGAAACUGGGGCUAAUACCGGAUGGUUCCUUCGGGAUAAAGAUUUAUCGCCAAAAGAUGAGUCCGCGUACGAUUAGCUAGUUGGUGAGGUAAUGGCUCACCAAGGCGACGAUCGUUAGCUGGUCUGAGAGGACGAUCAGCCACACUGGGACUGAGACACGGCCCAGACUCCUACGGGAGGCAGCAGUGGGGAAUAUUGGACAAUGGGGGCAACCCUGAUCCAGCCAUGCCGCGUGAGUGAUGAAGGCCUUCGGGUUGUAAAGCUCUUUUGGCGGGGACGAUGAUGACGGUACCCGCAGAAUAAGCCCCGGCUAACUUCGUGCCAGCCGCCGCAGUAAGAC